rnacentral:RNase_P_RNA from 2 species
CGAGUAAGUCAGAUGGUCGCGUCACAUAUUUUGUGAUGAGGAAAGUCCGAGCUCCAUAGGGCAGGGUGCUGGGUAAUACCCAGUGGAGGUGACUCCAAGGAAAGUGCAACAGAAAUAUACCGCCAGUGUAAGCUGGUAAGGGUGGAAAGGUGAGGUAAGAGCUCACCAGAGACUAGGCGACUAGUCUGCUCUGUAAACCCCAUCUGGAGCAAGACCAAGUAGGGACAUAAAAAGGUGGUAGCCCGCUGCCGUCCCGUUGGUAGGUCGCAUGAGCCUACUGGCAACAGUAGGCCUAGAUAGAUGGCUGUCUAACACAGAACUCGGCUUAUAGAUUUGCUCGUAUA